GUCCAAGAUUUUCAGCAAGCGAAGGAAACUAUUAUUACAAGAUCCAUGGAAAUGGGUCUUGCCAGAAUUUACUUCACAUUAUGGCAUAUCUGUGAUACCAAGCUGAGGUACCUAUCUUAUGUCAUGGAUGUCCCUACGCCAACAACAGAUUGUCUUAACUUGGUCUAUGAUCUGCUAGAACCUCCUGUUAUCACGAGGAAAAAUAGCAAUGCUUCUUUGAGCUGCCUGGAGAAUGAGACUACUAGGAGAGACCAAGGCUAAAAUUGAACAGCUACUUGCACUUACUUUUGAGAACUACACCUUCCCUUGACGAGUCGCCUCUGGUACUAUUGAGGAUUUGAGACCAGCAUCCGUUCAUGCGCCUGCGUUGAAACCUGCCGUUGAGCUUUACAACCUUCUUCAUGAUAUCUGAACUCCUGAGGCCAAAAUCACUUUCUGUCAUUGUUUCCAGGCUGCCACUGACAAGAGGGCUACAAGGUACCUGUCUGAUACAGAUAGAUGAAUAUAUUGCGCCUGAAGGCUGAUUGAUGUGAUUAAGGAGUGCUUACCAGAAGAUGAAAAAAAUAUGCAUAAAUCUAGGGGAUGAGAUUGAUUCCAAUAUCAAGAUUCAAUGUCAAAAUAUAGAAAAUGUUGCUUAAUACAUUUGUUGAUGACAUGUAUACGUUGCCGAAGAAGAUAUUGACAAACUAUGAAUUCAUCAUUAGCCGGUUGCCAUGCCUUGGAUCAAGAAAAACUGAAGGCCAAACAAUUAAGAAAGUUUAGAGGUAGCCUGUCUUUAGACUGAAUAUAUGAAAAAGAGGAGUGCUAUGGACACUCUCUUUCUAACACUUUCUCCAACACUCACUCUUUUAUUGGGUGAAAUUCAUGUGGGUACCAUACAUUGGAAAUGGAUCCCACAUAAAAUGGUGAGACCCACAUGUAUUUAAUCCAAUAUGAGAGUGAGUGUUAGAGAGAGUGCUAAAAAGAGAGCGUUCUUAGCAUUUCUCUAUAAAAAAAACAUUAUGAUAUUGUUUGAUCCAUGUCACCCAUCCUAUUUAGUUAGAAAAAUGAUUGGGUCUUCCAAUCAGUUCAAUUUGAAA